UAUAUUUACUUUUUUUUUUCUUUUCUAAUGCUUUUUUUUUUCUCCCCUAAUAUAUAAAUACACAGGAA
rnacentral:ribozyme from 1 species